GAUGAACGCUGGCGGCGUGCCUCAAACAUGCAAGUCGAGCGGGGCUAUGUAAUAUCGCAAGGUAGAACAUAGCCUAGCGGCGAACGGGUGAGUAACACGUGGGUAACCUGCCUGGAAGACAGGGAUAACGAUUCGAAAGGGUCGCUAAUACCUGAUAAUAUCCUUUCAUCGCAUGGUGAUAGGAAGAAAGGGGAAACCCGCUUUCAGAUGGGCCCGCGUCCCAUCAGCUAGUUGGUAAGGUAAAGGCUUACCAAGGCGACGACGGGUAGCCGGUCUGAGAGGAUGUACGGCCACACUGGGACUGAGAUACGGCCCAGACUCCUACGGGAGGCAGCAGUUGGGAAUCUUAGGCAAUGGACGAAAGUCUGACCUAGCGACGCCGCGUGAGGGAAGAAGGCCUUCGGGUUGUAAACCUCUGUCAUGGGGGAAGAAGUAAGUGACGGUACCCCAAGAGGAAGCCCCUGCUAACUACGUGCCAGCAGCCGCGGUAAGAGUACUCUAU
rnacentral:rRNA from 1 species